rnacentral:rRNA from 1 species
AGUGAACGCUGGCGGUAGGCCUAACACAUGCAAGUCGAACGGCAGCACAGGAGAGCUUGCUCUCUGGGUGGCGAGUGGCGGACGGGUGAGGAAUACAUCGGAAUCUACUCUGUCGUGGGGGAUAACGUAGGGAAAUUUACGCUAAUACCGCAUACGACCUACGGGUGAAAGCAGGGGACCUUCGGGCCUUGCGCGAUUGAAUGAGCCGAUGUUGGAUUAGCUAGUUGGCGGGGUAAAGGCCCACCAAGGCGACGAUCCGUAGCUGGUCUGAGAGGAGGAUCAGCCACACUAGAACUGAGACACGGUCCAGACGCCUACGGGAGGCAGCAGUGGGGAAUAUUGGACAAUGGGCGCAAGCCUGAUCCAGCCAUACCGCGUGGGUGAAGAAGGCCUUCGGGUUGUAAAGCCCUUUUGUUGGGAAAGAAAUCCAGCUGGCUAAUACCCGGUUGGGAUGACGGUACCCAAAGAAUAAGCACCGGCUAACUUCGUGCCAGCCGCCGUAACAC